rnacentral:piRNA from 1 species
UGCUUGGAUAUGCCUGGACAUGUGUGUG